AUUGAACGCUGGCGGCAGGCCUAACACAUGCAAGUCGAGCGAGCGGCGGACGGGUGAGUAAUGUAUGGGGACUGCCCGAUAGAGGGGGAUAACUACUGGAAACGGUGGCUAAUACCGCAUACUAUCGGAUAACCCAUAGGGGAUUAGCUAGUAGGUGGGGUAAAGGCUCACCUAGGCGACGAUCUCUAGCUGGCCUGAGAGGAUGAUAGGCCACACUGGGAAGGAGAACCGGCCCAGACUCCUACGGAGGCAGCAGUAGGGAAUAUUGCACAAUGGGCGCAAGCCUGACGCAGCCAUGCCGCGUGAAUGAAGAAGGCCUUAGGGUUGUAAAGUACUUUCAGCAGGGAGGCGUUACCCGCCGAUGAAGCACCGGCUAACUCCGUGCCAGCCGCCGCGGUAAUAC
rnacentral:rRNA from 1 species